GAACUCAGUUCUCCCGCGGGCGAUUCUGCGCGCACUUGGAACCUGCAGCACAGACCAGCGGCUCUGCAACCAGCAGGUCCCAGUUCCCAAUCUGGGCUUCCCGGUGGCGGUAUCUUCCACGGACAUAGGAAGCUUUCUGUCUUAACGCGCAUGCUGGUAGCCUAAUUACCAGAGAGACUGUCCUGUUAAAUAAGGACGUCAGUCCGCCCAACAGUAGGAAACUGUGCAAG
rnacentral:lncRNA from 1 species